rnacentral:lncRNA from 10 species
GCCGCCUCCUCACUGGAGGGAUUCCUGGAGAAGCUGCAGUGUGGGGAUGCUCUAGACCGAGUACUGCCCCCAGUGUCUUUCCACCUCCUCCUGCAGCAGCGGCAGCGGCAGCAGCAGUUAGCAGCGGCAACUUGAGGCUGCACCCCGGGCAAGUCCCCAGGGUGGUGCUCAGCCGAGAGGGGGGCUUGGCGCCCCGAAGGGGUGUGUGUAGGGUGGGGGCGACCACGUGGGACCAGCUGGUGGCCCUGGAAAACCUCCCACACACCCACACCCACACACCCCUUUUGUGUUGCAGGCUGCCCCUCCAAGAGCGGAGGCAGCGAGAGUACGCGUGUGCCUCGCGCCGGUCCACGCGGGGAGAGCACUGGGGACCGAGACCCGGCACCACCUCCCGGUCCGCCCUCCAGGGAAAACGGGAAAACUAGCAAGAGCUAGCAAGAACUAGCAAGAGCUUGAACAAACGCCUGGACUCAGAUUGGAAGACUGCUCAUUUGUCUACUGCCUCAUUCCUGGAAAUUGCACUGGAACUGUCUGAUUAAG